rnacentral:rRNA from 1 species
AUUGAACGCUGGCGGCAUGCCUUACACAUGCAAGUCGAACGGCAGCACGGGUGCUUGCACCUGGUGGCGAGUGGCGAACGGGUGAGUAAUACAUCGGAACAUGUCCUGUAGUGGGGGAUAGCCCGGCGAAGGCCGGAUUAAUACCGCAUACGAUCUACGGAUGAAAGCGGGGGACCUUCGGGCCUCGCGCUAUAGGGUUGGCCGAUGGCUGAUUAGCUAGUUGGUGGGGUAAAGGCCUACCAAGGCGACGAUCAGUAGCUGGUCUGAGAGGACGACCAGCCACACUGGGACUGAGACACGGCCCAGACUCCUACGGGAGGCAGCAGUGGGGAAUUUUGGACAAUGGGCGAAAGCCUGAUCCAGCAAUGCCGCGUGUGUGAAGAAGGCCUUCGGGUUGUAAAGCACUUUUGCCCGGAAAGAAAUCCUUGGCCCUAAUACGGUCGGGGGAUGACGGUACCGGAAGAAUAAGCACCGGCUAACUACGUG